rnacentral:rRNA from 1 species
AUUGAACGCUGGCGGCAUGCUUUACACAUGCAAGUCGAACGGCAGCGCGGGCUUCGGCCUGGCUGCGAGUGGCGGACGGGUGAGUAAUGCAUCGGAACGUGCCCAGUAGUGGGGGAUAGCCCGGCGAAAGCCGGAUUAAUACCGCAUACGACCUGAGGGUGAAAGCGGGGGACCGAAAGGCCUCGCGCUCUUGGAGCGGCCGAUGUCGGAUUAGCUAGUUGGUGGGGUAAAGGCCUACCAAGGCGACGAUCCGUAGCUGGUCUGAGAGGACGACCAGCCACACUGGGACUGAGACACGGCCCAGACUCCUACGGGAGGCAGCAGUGGGGAAUUUUGGACAAUGGGGGCAAGCCUGAUCCAGCCAUGCCGCGUGCGGGAAGAAGGCCUUCGGGUUGUAAACCGCUUUUGUUCGGGAAGAAAUCCUCUGGGCUAAUACCCCGGGGGGAUGACGGUACCGGAAGAAUAAGCACCGGCUAACUACGUG